rnacentral:lncRNA from 1 species
UUCCUCACUCAUUGCUGGUGUCCUGCCAAAGAGAGACCCCAAAGCUGAACACCCACAAAUGUUGACAUUCACGGA